ACGAGCCACAUGCAGGGAAACUUGCACGUGUGGUUCUGGCAGGGACCCCGGUAUACUGUAC
rfam:Triticum aestivum genome assembly, contig: Triticum_aestivum_CS42_TGACv1_scaffold_068455_1DL